rnacentral:rRNA from 1 species
GACGAACGCUGGCGGCGUGCUUAACACAUGCAAGUCGAACGGUAAGGCCCUUCGGGGUACACGAGUGGCGAACGGGUGAGUAACACGUGGGUAAUCUGCCCUGCACAUCGGGAUAAGCCUGGGAAACUGGGUCUAAUACCGAAUAGGACCACAGGACACAUGUCCUGUGGCGGAAAGCUUUUGCGGUGUGGGAUGGGCCCGCGGCCUACCCGCUUGUUGGUGGGGUGAUGGCCCACCAAGGCGACGACGGGUAGCCGGCAUGAGAGGGUGUCCGACCACACUGGGACUGAGAUACGGCCCAGACUACUACCGGAGGCAGAGGUGGGGAAUAUUACUCAAUGCGCGAAAGCCUGGUGCCGCCGCGACGCGUGGGGGAUGACGGCCUUCGGGUUGUAAACCUCUUUCACCAUCGACGAAGGUCAGGGUUUUCUCGGGCUGACGGUAGGUGGAGAAGAAGAACCGGCCAACUACGUG